UUUUGUAAACAUUGGGGGGUCGUGAAGACUCUAUCAGUUAGUAUUUGUUCUCGAAAGGGCUAUGAUUAAUGUUGAAGAAUCAGACAUAGUACGCUAAGGUUGUAUGUCUAAAGGGAAACAGCCCAGAACAAGAGUUAAUAAGGUUCCAAAAUUAUUAUUAAGUGAAAUAAAGGUAGUUUAUAUGUUAAACGUCCAGGAAAUAGGCUUAGAAGCGGCCAUUUUUUAAAGACCUCGUAACAGAGCACUGGUUUUAUUCUAGUUUAUUAUAUAAAUUUAGAUCAAUAUAAGCACCGACGAUUCCACGGAUCUAAAUAAUAUACCGAAACCUUGUCCAUGUAUAACUAUAUAUACUUAACAACAGAAAAAUAUGCACGUAAUAUUUGUGAGUUAUAUAUAUAGUAUAAUGGGGUAGCGGAACAUUGGGCAAACCACACCUUUUUUUUAUAAAAAAAUAUUAGGUACCCCAAGUGAGAAUGCUGACAUGAGUAACGAUAAAGGGAAAAAUCCCUCGCCUAAAGCUUAUGGCAUUUAGUUAAAGUAACGGCCUCUAAGUUUAUAAAUAAAAACUUAUAUACACUAGCUAUAGAGUAUAUAAGAUAACCUAAGGGAUUAAACGAUGAGUAAAUCUAUAGAGGUACAAAUAAAUAACAUUUAUAGACAGUUAGAAAAAAAGUAAUAGCUGUGUUAAAGUGAUAAAUGUUCUGGAAAAUAGUAUCUUACUAAAAAAUUAUUUAUAUAAGUAGUUUUUUUCUGUAAAGAAAAACUAAAGAAAAUAUAGAUUUUAAGUAUACCGUACCUAAAUACUACCACAAGUAAGCAAGUAGAG
rnacentral:rRNA from 1 species